UACGAAGGGGGCUAGCGUUGCCCGGAAUCACUGGGCGUAAAGCGCACGUAGGCGGAUCUUUAAGUCAGGGGUGAAAUCCCAAGGCUCAACCUUGGAACUGCCUUUGAUACUGGGGAUCUCGAGUCCGGAAGAGGUGAGUGGAACUGCGAGUGUAGAGGUGAAAUUCGUAGAUAUUCGCAAGAACACCAGUGGCGAAGGCGGCUCACUGGUCCGGUACUGACGCUGAGGCACGAAAGCGUGGGGAGCAAACAGG
rnacentral:rRNA from 1 species